CGUUUCGUUAGGUACAGUAAAAGUUUAUUUGGAUUUCAAUUUUAGCCACAUUUAACUAUUUAAUUCAUUUAAAGUUUAUUAUAAAAUGUCAGCUCACAGUUAUUCUGUUGAAGAUAUCAAGCUUUAUCUUUCUAAAGGAGAAAUAAAUUGCUCUAAAUCACAGUGUAAAUCAUUUUUAAAAUAUGCAAAAAAAUUCAAACUAUGUGGAAUGACAAGCUAAGCUUCUUGGUUACAAGCGGUAAAAGAUUAUCUUUUAGGUAAACUCAAUCUCUGAUGUUGACUGCAAAGACAAGUAACUUCCAAUCUAGGAGAGGUAAACGUUAAGGGACAGAUUUAAAAACAAAGUAAAUGUAAAUUAAUUUUUAGCUAAUAAAUUUUUAUAAUUUUAUUA